UAUAUGAUAUGUACAAAGAGCGAGUGUAUAGGAUAGUCAGGCGGAUGCAUAACUUAUUGGGCUUUGAUUCUAGUUGGGUUGGGUUUUAAGUGUGUGUACUGUGAGGGGCAUCGAGUUUAGUCUCUUGCAAUUUAUUCCUGGCAACUGGGUUUUAGGUGGGUUUUUGAUUACAGUUGUUCAACAGUCUUUCACUCUUUUGAUCGACAAUUAUGGGCCAUGCUUCUCUUAUUGCAGUUGUGUUUGGUGCCCUGCUAUGCGACUUAGCUAGGGAGGCAUCGUUGUGCAUUUAAUACGCACACUAUUGUGCGAUAUUGAGAGAGUUGCUACUCUCUUGCUUGGAGUUUUUAGUUCAAUCUUGAUUGGGAGGGUCGGGUUCCAACACUUCUCCUAUGAGAGUAGAGGCUUUGAGGGGAGGGGAUUGUAACCGGGCUCAAUUGCAUCACGCCUUUGAGAGGUUAUGACUGUUUUUAGAAAGAUCUUGUUUAGAGUUUCGAAAAAUUGAUCUUGAUACUGCUACCUUUUCUAUUUUUAAAGGUUUGCUUUGUGAUUCUGUUUCUCUUUGGCUUAUAUCAUUUCACACUAGACAAAUUCAUAGAGGAUUGUUAUUUUGAAAAGCUUGUUGAGAUCAUGUACAAAGUACAAUGCUUUCUUGAUUUUUCAUGCAUUGUUUCUUUUACGUCGUUGUUGUGAUUGCAGGAUCUUUUUUGCAACUAUAUAUUCUACUUCUCUUAUGCUCUUCGCACUUUUUUCUUGCUUUGAAGUUGCGGAGAUGUUGUUAUGCUUUUUAGUUUUCAAAAUGAAAUUGAUGUUGUGUAUCAAGUGUUGGGUGCGAUGUUGCCUUCUCGGUAGCUUUGGAUUAGGUUCUUUGUUUGUUUGGUUUAAGGAUAACCUAAAAUUUAAACUGCUUUUCCAGGUUUAAUUAUAUCAUGGAUUUGAGAGGUUGUUGUAUUUUUUGAAGUGAUCUUCAUAGAACUUUAUCACGAUUGAUUCUA